ensembl:lncRNA
AUCUCUGGUUGGAGAUCCUUUCCUUGUGGAGUCGUUCCUGUGAGCCUAGAUGUUUGGAGACAGGGAGUGCGUGGAGUGGUGUGUGGGGAUCAUAGCUACAGCAUCAAGGUUCGUUAGUCAGCUUCUGUGCAGAGAAAGGGAAACACUGACAAACUCAACUGAAGAAGUUGUCUUGUGAUGAAACAGCACAUUUCAGUGACCGAUGACGGCAUGGAGAACUAAAAAGGCUCUCUGAGGAACUGAUGUAAGGAGACACCGUGAUAAAAGGUACAUAACUGAACUGUAGGGCACAGCCUGCCACCAACAUAGCCCUAACACUUAAGGGAAGAUACAAAUCCCUUGGAGCUUGGGACACGAGCUACUUCCACAAACUUCUUUAGGAACCUCCAAGGAGGAAGCAGCCCCUGAAGCUUUCUUUCUGUCAGUUUUAGCCAGACAAGGAGACCGUGCUCAUUAACCUCCAGAUCACACUGCAAGCUCUAUUUGCUCAAGACUUUGCUUCAAGUAGAGAGGUUAUAUGCUGAGCUGAUUUGAAAGGGAAAGCUUCAGUAUCAGUUCUCCAUUCCUUCUGAACUCAUAAUGUUUUAAAUCGAAAUACAUUUGUUCGGAGACUGCUGUGGGUGUACAACCAUCAGAAAGAAAAAAUAAAGUAUCACGCUAUUUCUGAUUCACCAGCAUUUGUACCAUCAGAGGCUACCGAUCUAUGUCAAAUGUGCUACUUAAUCAGGAGGAAUAGGGGGAGCAAAAGCUUUCACGGCCACAUCCUCCUUCCAUUGUCCUGCUGUGGUGUUUGCUGCAUUUCUGGGGCACUGGAUUCCUAGCUGACACUUGUCUGAUUACUGGAAGUCUUCAAAAACAUUGUGGACAGCUCAUUGCUCAGCUUCCACUCCAGAUUUGCCUGUGCUCCUGAACUGUGUAUUUCAAGAGCCAAAGGCAGACUGCAGAUUUGGUGGUAGCUUGGACUGCCUUCUUUCAUUGUCCCACGUUAUUGCUGUCAUUUGGCAAUUGCUGGGUUUUUUCUGCCUAUUACGCCUGUUCAGCUGCUUAAUCUGUUCUCGUAGCAAUGCUACAAGGAACAGGUUAACCUAGAUACUAAUGUUUCAGUGCAACACUGCAAUUUUAUAACAAUAAACAGAAGCUUUUAUGAGGCU